AUAAGAAACCAAGUGUUUACACACAUCGGAUUAAAGACACAGCUAACUAUAAUUGUUUACCUGUUCCACCAUAAGGUCAACAAUUGACUUGGAGUCUGAUAACCAAAACUAAACAAAAGUGUGCUGCGCAGCGCUGUAACCAAGUGCGCUAACUGCGCUCUGUAUUCUUGGCCUUCAUGCCUGCGCACUCCUCACCUCGGAUGAGCAGUGCAGGUUGCAACCGGAAAACUACUACUUACCAUUGAGUCUUCAGUUCUGUCCCUGACACUAUACAGAAGCAGCAUCAUUCGUGAGCAUGUCCCUGAGUCCGCUAAUGUUGUUCUGCAUUAUAUUGCAACACCGAAAUGCCGUCUCCCAAACUCUGGACCAGGGAAACUGGGAGAUACAGUCGAAAAUGGGAGCUGCAGUUGACUUCUCCUGCAUUUACGCACAAGUCGAAAAGCCAUAUUACUUAUUCUGGUAUCAGCAGAAGCCUAGUGGGCAUCCCGUGUGCAUAAAGCAAAUAUCAUACUUGGGGGACGAACAUCCUAAUGAAGGCUUCAUGGACGUCCAUCGAUUCACCGUGGAGAACAAUAAAUAUGAGCACAGGGUCGAGCUCACAAAUGAAGCAUCCACACCGAGGGAUUCCGCCGUGUACUUUUGCGCAGUUAACCACAAGAGCGAGAAGUUCCUAACAUUUGGAGAUGGUAACAGACUCAGGCUCCUUCCAGAGAGCGAUGUCGUGCCCACUGCCUAUCUGCACAAGGCCGACACAGAUGGCCCCACAGCUUGCAUGGUGAAGGACUCCGGGCCAGUUACAGCAUCAGUCAUGUUGUCAGGGGAGACUGUCCCAGCCGAGCCAACCAUGGCAGCAGGGGAGUCCAGUUACGGCUUGGUUGCCGUAGCCACAUGUAAGGCCAGCUACUGCCGAGUGAAGCAAGGCGAUGUGGACAUAUCUGCCAGUGAAAAUGAGGAGAUGAACUUCCUCCACCUCACCAUGUUGGGUCUGAGAUCGCUGUGCGUGAAGAUGGUGGUCUUAUCCGGGCUCCUGACUAUGCACCUACUCACCUGUUCAGCCUGAACCAUUCUCUGUCCACCAACUCUACGUUCACUUUCCCAAUCCCUUAUGAUAUUUGACUGUAAAUAAGCAAUUCAGUUAAAAGUGAUCCUUAGUCCUCAAUUUACAUAAUCAACACCUUGGUAGAUAAACACUUU